rnacentral:rRNA from 1 species
CCUACGGGAGGCAGCAGUGGGGAAUUUUGGACAAUGGGCGCAAGCCUGAUCCAGCCAUGCCGCGUGCGGGAAGAAGGCCUUCGGGUUGUAAACCGCUUUUGUCAGGGAAGAAAUCCUUUGGGCUAAUACCUCGGAGGGAUGACGGUACCUGAAGAAUAAGCACCGGCUAACUACGUGCCAGCAGCCGCGGUAAUACGUAGGGUGCGAGCGUUAAUCGGAAUUACUGGGCGUAAAGCGUGCGCAGGCGGUUAUGCAAGACAGAUGUGAAAUCCCCGGGCUUAACCUGGGAACUGCAUUUGUGACUGCAUAGCUCGAGUACGGCAGAGGGGGAUGGAAUUCCGCGUGUAGCAGUGAAAUGCGUAGAUAUGCGGAGGAACACCGAUGGCGAAGGCAAUCCCCUGGGCCUGUACUGACGCUCAUGCACGAAAGCGUGGGGAGCAAACAGGAUUAGAUACCCUGGUAGUCCACGCCCUAAACGAUGUCAACUGGUUGCUGGACGGCUUGCUGUUCAGUAACGAAGCUAACGCGUGAAGUUGACCGCCUGGGGAGUCGGCGCAGGUUGAAACUCAAAGGGAUUGACGGCGNGAGAGNGACGACGGACGACGACGAGGGAGGAGG